rnacentral:rRNA from 1 species
CCUACGGGAGGCAGCAGUGGGGAAUAUUGGUCAAUGGCCGGAAGGCUGAACCAGCCAUGCCGCGUGAAGGUCAGUGCCCUAUGGGCGUUAAACUUCUUUUGUGCGGGAGCAAUAAUGGUCACGUGUGGCCAGACGAGAGUACCGUACGAAUAAGCAUCGGCUAACUCCGUGCCAGCAGCCGCGGUAAUACGGGGGAUGCAAGCGUUAUCCGGAUUUAUUGGGUUUAAAGGGUGCGUAGGCUGUGAGGUAAGUCAGCGGUGAAAUGCCCCCGCUCAACGGGGUGAAGUGCCAUUGAUACUGCCAUGCUGGAAUGCGGAUGCCGUGGGAGGAAUGUGUGGUGUAGCGGUGAAAUGCAUAGAUAUCACACAGAACACCGAUUGCGAAGGCAUCUCACGAAUCCGCGAUUGACGCUGAUGCACGAAAGCGUGGGUAUCAAACAGGAUUAGAUACCCCAGUAGUC